UACGUAGGGUGCAAGCGUUAAUCGGAAUUACUGGGCGUAAAGCGUGCGCAGGCGGUUUUGUAAGUUUGUCGUGAAAUCCCCGAGCUCAACUCGGGAACUGCGUCCGAUACUGGCGGGCUUGAAUCCGGGAGAGGGAUGCGGAAUUCCAGGUGUAGCGGUGAAAUGCGUAGAUAUCUGGAGGAACACCGGUGGCGAAGGCGGCAUCCUGGACCGGCAUUGACGCUGAGGCGCGAAAGCUAGGGGAGCAAACGGG
rnacentral:rRNA from 1 species